UGGGGUUCUGUUGACCUGGAGUUACCCUCAGACUUUGGUUCUUUGUGGUGGUGAGGCAAGCUCCCAACGGCUCACGACUGGCCGCUGUUCAAAAUCCCAAGGACGCAGCUCAGAAGGCCUCAUCCGCCCAGACUGCCAAAGCUGACUUUGCACGUCUUUAUCUCAUCGGGGUACGAGGCCGCCGGCAACCCUCACGUGGUUUAGCCCGCCUGUUGAAGUGGUGUACUGGGGUGAGGCCACUGUCGCAUACACACAGCUACUUGGAGCCACAGGGAGAGCUGAGUGCCUGGCGGGGACCAAAGACAUCCAUGAAAACAGAAGAGUCCCCAAUGAAUGAGUGACAGUAAAAACAUUACAACCUCAAACCUUCCCCUACUUCCUGCUCCCACGCACAAACAGCAGAAACUACCCACCCCCCCCCCACAGUUACUUCGGCAAAAAAAAAGCAUCAACACCCUCUACCCACCAAGCAAGCUAUUGCAAAGCCCCCAAGAAAGACCAUGAUCUGCACUACAACAAAAAUUAAUUGUUCACCCAACAGUUUGACAUACCACAGGCUCUCUCUCUCUCUCUCUCUCUCUCUCUCUCUCUCUCUCUAAUAAAGGGACAGAGAGGUGUCACCCUUUCACAGUGAGACGGGAGACCAACAAAAAGAAACAACUUGCUGAUUUAUGGUGUUAAAGUCUGCAGCGUUGUUUUUUUUGCAAGUUCUCCAACUCAAGAAUCAGUAAAAAACUCUCCCCCAUCAACAAGAAAAAGAGAGAGCUCGAUCUAAGUACAGAGCCCCCGACAGCUGAUCCGCUGAUCCCAUUAUUCUAUGAUUAUGAAAUUAUGAUGAAAGUACAUUAAUCAGAACUAAAUAAUUUAAAAUGUAAAAAUGUAAUUUCAUGUCUUCAAUCUCUUCUGCCGCAUUAUUAUAGAAACUUCCUCAUGCUAUCAAGAAAUCUUUGAGUGUGGAUUCAUGUGAUAUUGGGGGUUAAUGCAGUUUCAGUUAACAAUAUGUGAGGUGUGGUACUAUUAUAAAGGAAUUAAGCCCUCCCGGCCUUUGAGCAUAUCUACAUGAAACACUGUCGCAGGAAACCAGCAUCCAUCAUCAGGGACCCACACAGCCCAGGACAUGUUCCCUUCUCAUUGCUGCUAUCAGGAAGAAGGUACAGGAGCCUCAGGACUCACACCACCAACUUCAGGAACAGUCACUACCACUCAACCAUCAGGUCCUUGAAUCAAAGAGGAUAACUUUAUUCAACUUCACUUCGUCAUUGAAAUGUUCUACAACCUAUGGACUUAUU